GCCGCGUUGGCGUAGUGGUAGCGCGUCCCACUUGUACCUACACUGUACCAGGUGUUAUGGGAAGGUCACUCGUUCAAACCGGGUACGUGGCA